rnacentral:rRNA from 1 species
GAUGAACGCUGGCGGCGUGCCUAAUACAUGCAAGUCGAGCGAACAGAUGAGGAGCUUGCUCCUCUGACGUUAGCGGCGGACGGGUGAGUAACACGUGGAUAACCUACCUAUAAGACUGGGAUAACUUCGGGAAACCGGAGCUAAUACCGGAUAAUAUAUUGAACCGCAUGGUUCAAUAGUGAAAGACGGUUUUGCUGUCACUUAUAGAUGGAUCCGCGCCGCAUUAGCUAGUUGGUAAGGUAACGGCUUACCAAGGCGACGAUGCGUAGCCGACCUGAGAGGGUGAUCGGCCACACUUGAACUGAGACACGGUCCAGACUCCUACGGGAGGCAGCAGUAGGGAAACUUCCGCAAUGGGCGAAAGCCUGACGGAGCAACGCCGCGUGAGUGAUGAAGGUCUUCGGAUCGGAAAACUCUGUUAUUAGGGAAGAACAAAUGUGUAAGUAACUAUGCACGUCUUGACGGUACCUAAUCAGAAAGCCACGGCUAACUACGUG